rnacentral:rRNA from 1 species
UACGGAGGAUGCAAGCGUUAUUCGGAAUUACUGGGCGUAAAGCGUCUGUAGGCGGAUGUUCAAGUCUGCUGUCAAAGACCGGGGCUCAACCCUGGAAAGGCAUUGGAAACUGAAGAUCUAGAGUGCGGUAGAGGCAGAGGGAAUUCCCAGUGUAGCGGUGAAAUGCGUAGAGAUUGGGAAGAACACCGGUGGCGAAAGCGCUCUGCUGGGCCAAAACUGACACUGAGGGACGAAAGCUAGGGGAGCGAAUAGG